rnacentral:rRNA from 1 species
GAUGAACGCUGGCGGCGUGCUUAACACAUGCAAGUCGAACGAGAAGUGAAGACGGAAACCUUCGGGCGGAAGGCUUUAUUUCGAGUGGCGGACUGGUGAGUAACGCGUGGGUAACCUGCCUCAUACAGGGGGAUAACAGUUGGAAACGACUGUUAAUACCGCAUAAGACCACAGCACCGCAUGGUGCGGGGGUAAAAACUCCGGUGGUAUGAGAUGGACCCGCGUUCGAUUAGCCAGUUGGCGGGGUAACGGCCCACCAAAGCGACGAUCGAUAGCCGAUCUGAGAGGAUGACCGGCCACAUUGGGACUGAGACACGGCCCAAACUCCUACGGGAGGCAGCAGUGGGGAAUAUUGCACAAUGGGGGAAACCCUGAUGCAGCGACGCCGCGUGAGUGAAGAAGUAUUUCGGUAUGUAAAGCUCUAUCAGCAGGGAAGAAAAUGACGGUACCUGAGUAAGAAGCCCCGGCUAACUACGUG